CAACGGUGAAACUCAAAGGAAUUGACGGGGCCCGCACAAGCGGAGGAACAUGUGGUUUAAUUCGAUGAUACGCGAGGAACCUUACCCGGGCUCAAACGUAGAUGGAAUAAAGGUGAAAGCCGUUAGCCCUCCGGGGCCGUCUACGAGGUGCUGCAUGGUUGUCGUCAGCUCGUGCCGUGAGGUGUCGGCUUAAGUGCCAUAACGAGCGCAACCCCUAUCGACAGUUGCUAACAAGUAGCGUUGAGGACUCUGUCGAGACUGCCGGCGCAAGCUGUGAGGAAGGCGGGGAUGACGUCAAAUCAGCACGGCCCUUACGUCCGGGGCGACACACGUGUUACAAUGGCAGGUACAGCGGGAAGCCAUACGGCGACGUAGCGCAGAACCCGAAAACCUGUCUCAGUUCGGAUUGGAGUCUGCAACUCGACUCCAUGAAGCUGGAUUCGCUAGUAAUCGCGCAUCAGCCACGGCGCGGUGAAUACGUUCCCGGGCCUUGUACACACCGCCCGUCAAGCCAUGGAAG
rnacentral:rRNA from 1 species